ACUGAGAUACUAUCGAUACCGUCAAGAGCUUGGUGCUACUGAGUUUUCCGUCGUUAGAUUUAAUCCUUUGACUAUUUUUAUCCGUUAAAUUAUAUUAUUCAAUCUAUAACUAAUUCAAUUCUAGAGGGUUCACAUCAUUCUAACCGUACAUUUUUUCAUUUAAUGACCGAAAAUCUAAUAGCACAAAUAGCUUGGUACUAUUGAUAGUAUUCCAGCGAGUUGAGCUAGAAUACUCUCAAAAGCAUCAUGAAGGUAGUGAUUUUGAGUUUUUAGCCAUUAAAUGGAGGGAUGUGAGGUUGAGAUGAUAGUGGUAGGUAAAAUAGUGUUUGAUCCAAAAACUAUUAGUAAUCAAGAAGUAAAUUCAAAGGCUAAAAACUUGGAAGCGCACCAAGAGAUUGGUGCUUCUAAUUAAAAGUAUUCUAGCUCAAUUAGUAUUCCAGCAUAUAUAUAUAUAUAUAUAUAUAUAUAUAUAUAUAUAUAUAUAUAUAGAGAGAGAGAGAGAGAGAGAGAGAGAGAGAGAGAGAGGUUUCUAUACUUUCGAAAGUACGGAGGCCUCCGUACUUGUAAGUUAUUUUCAAUGAUGGGACUUCCAAUUCGGCGAUCGGUUUCAUUAAAUAUGAUCUACGCUAUUGGAACUAUCUAGAAACCAAAUUUCAUAAUUUUUGACUUUGUUUGCCUAGUGAACGAGUAGCAUUAAAAUGAACGGCUGAAAAUAAAAAUCUCAUAAAAAACAGUGAUAAAAGACUCAAAUUUCAAAUCAGUAGUAUUGUUCUUACUCUUAAUGUUAAGUAGAAUUUUCUAUUAAAAUUUCACAUAAUUUGAAAACUUCUACACCGUUGAAUUUAAAAACAUGUCACAUCGGCCGUUAAAAUAGUCAUUUUUGAGAUCCUGUGAUCGUUUGGUAAAUGAUGUCGAAAAAUUAUAAAAUUUGGUUUCUAGAUAGUUCCAAUAGCUUAGAUUUUGCCUAACGGAGCCGAUCGUCGAAUCGGAUUUCCUAGAAUCGAAAACAACUUACAAGCACGGAGGCCUUCGUACUUUCGAAAGCACGGGAGACGUACUAUAUAUAUAUAUAUAUAUGUAUAUAUAUAGUGCGGCUAGAAUGCUUAUGGAAGCACGGAAGGCUCCGUGCUUCCAUUUUGUUUUCGAUGUUCGGACUUUCGAAUCGGCGUUUGGCUUCGUUAGACUUGAUCUAGAGUAUUUGAAAUAUCUAGAAAAUAAAUUUUGCGAUUUUUCGAUAUCAUUUGCCUAGUGAUCGAAGUGGCUCAAAAUCAACGGCUGAAAAUAAAAAUCUUACAAAAUAUGAUGAUAUGACAUUAAAAUUUUAGAUCAAAGUUAUUGAUCUUGUUUUAUAUGGUAUAAAGAAUUUUCUAUCAAAAUUUCAUGUGAUUUGGAUAUUUCUACACCGUUAAACUUGCAACCGGCUCACCACGGCCAUUAAAAUUAUUGAUUUUGAACCCCUUCGAUAACUAAGCAAAUAAUAUCGAAAAAUCACAAAAUUUAUUUUCUAGGUACUACAAAUACUCUAGAUCAGCUCUAACGGAGCCGAUCGUCGAUUCGAAAGUCCGAACAUCGAAAAUAAUUUGAAAGCACGAAGUAAGCAUACCAGCCCACUCUAUAUAUAACACUCGCUGACUUCACGUCGACCUAAAAAAAAGUAGUGAACUCCACGUGUCUGCCUUGCCUUCA
rnacentral:lncRNA from 1 species